rnacentral:rRNA from 1 species
AUGUCGACCGACGCCGACCGUGCCGCCGCUAAGAAGGCCGAGGCCGACAAGAAGGCCGCCGAGGAUGCCGCAGCCACCGCCGCAUGGCCGAUUGGAGGGAGUUUUUCGAAUUCUGGUUUUGCUGCUGCACUGAAACCGUCGCCAUUUACGGGGACGUACUUUAAGCGUUGGCAGACUAAAACCACCUUAUGGCUCACUGCCAUGAACGUGUUCUGGGUCGCCGGUGUGACUCCCACAGGAACGAUCGCUCCUGAUCAGGAGAAGGCGUUCAAGGAGGCCACUGUCGUGUUCCUCGGGGCAGUUCUGAGCGUGAUUGGAGAUAAGCUGGUUGACGCAUAUUUGCAUGUGCGGUCUGCCAAGGACUUGUGGGAGGCGCUCGAAUCUAAGUUCGGAGCUGCCGAUGCAGGGAGCGAGAUGUAUAUUAUAGAGCAGUUCCAUGAUUACAAGAUGGUUGAAAACCGUCCUGUAUUGGAGCAGGCUCAUGAGAUAAUAUGCAUUGUUAAGGAGCUUGAGCUUCUUAAGUGCGAGUUAUUGGGCAAGUUUGUCGCGGGCUGCAUAAUCGCUAAGCUUCCCAAUUCUUGGAGGAACUUUGCCACUACUCUGAAACAUCAGAGGCGUGAAUUCUCUAUGGAGGAUGUCAUUGGCCAUCUGAGUGUUGAGCAGAAUUCAAGGGCAAAGGACUCGCAUGGAAAAGGGGUCGAAGGAACUUCUGUGGCCAACAUGGUGCAUCAGAAGAACUCCAAUUCCCACAAGCCCAAGGGAAAGAACGGUGUCCAACAGAGUACCGACUUUAAGAAGAUGGGUAAGAAGACCUUCAAGAAGAACAAGAAGGAUGAGGGCUGCUUUACUUGUGGUUCGCUUGAACAUUGGGCCAACAAGUGCCCAAACAAGUACAAGAAGCAAGGGCAGGACUCCAAGUCUGUCAAUAUGAUUGUGAGCAACAAUGAGAGUGGUGCAUCUCGGACACAGGUCACGGGUCCGUACUGA